CCCCUAGAUGUUCUGGGCCGCACGCGCGCUACACUGAACAGUUCAACAAGUCUUAACCUUGGCCGAUAGGUCUGGGUAAUCUUUGAACGCUGUUCGUGAUUGGGAUAGACCUUUGCAAUUAUGGGUCUUCAACGAGGAAUUCCUAGUAAACGCAAGUCAUCAGCUUGCAUUGAUUACGUCCCUGCCCUUUGUACACACCGCCCGUCGCACCUACCGAUUGAAUGGUCCGGUGAAAUCUCGGGACGGUGGCUUGGUCGCUUGCGUCCGACUGCUGAAACUUGAUUAAACCAUNUNAUUUAGNGGAAGGUGAANUCGUANCA
rnacentral:rRNA from 1 species